CUCCCAGGGUCAUUGUGAAACUCAAAUGAGAUCAUAAUUGUAAAGCCCUUUGCACAGUGUCUGGCCCAUAGUAGGUACUUAAUAAAUGCUUGUUUCUUCUUCAACUUUAAAUGGGCCCUGUCACAGCCCCUCUCUCCCAGGAUUGUUAUGAGAAUCAGUGAAGGUCGAAUUGACCACUAAGAGUGAGAGCGAGACCAGAGACUCUCUGAAAAUCCCCAUGGAUUCCAGAGACAGUGCAGCUCAGCAUCUGGAUACGCUGGACAUGAAAAACCCUUUGGCCGUUCCGACUAUGUGGUGACCCAGCCCGGGAAGAUUCGGCGUUUUGCAGGUGACCAAGAGUCAACCGCAAGGGGAGUGUGUCCAGACUUAGAAAAGACCUUGAGCGUUCCAGGGGAAUCCUGGUCCACAGCCUGAAGCGACUCACAGCAAGAGGAGUUUCCUCAUCGAAGAAAACGAUCGCAGCAAAAAGAUUGCUCCAGACUUGGCCCAUUUUACCCAUAGAUAUCUGUUUAGAUAGUUGCAGGACUGGGGUGAAAUGGGGAAUACUACUCAGCAGUCUUGCAAAACGCUUUGUGUUCUAUUGAGGUUUAAGUAUCAGCAUCCCAGCAGAUUGUAACCGUAGCGGUUAGUUAAUAGAUCUUAUUUUAACUUUAUUCUUGUCAAAUGUGGGCUUGUGACUGCUCUGUGUUUAGUAUUCCUUCUAUGUAUAGGAAUUAAAUACCUGUCCCAAACCUGAUUCAUAUUUGUAACUCUCCCCUUUUGAGAAAACCCUAGAUAGGAAACUAAGCUUUAAAUAAUAUAUCCCUUGGGAUCCUAGGGUGGGAGGAUUAGCCAGACAAGAAAGAUGAGAAGUGGGAAAUCUGGAUCCCUCAGGCCUGAGCUCAGGCCAAAUCUCGUGUCUAUUUUCAGAAUCAAGGGACCCCCUUAUUGGAAAAAGAAGGGCUGUAGCACCUCCCAAGCCCUGUGGGUCCAGCAGGGGUUCCUGAGUGUUAGAUGUUGUUUCUGUAAUUAAUAUAUGUAUAAUUUUCCUAAUAUUGGACCAACCUGUCAUUCCCGGUAUCAGUUCAACCUGGUCAUAGUUUAUAAUCUCUGUAAUCUACUGCCAAAACUUCUGCUAAUAUUUUAUGCUAUAUUAUUUUUAGUAGAUAUUUAUUAGAAAUAAUGACCUAUGAUUUUAUUUUCUGUGCUAUCUCUCUCUAUUCGAGGUAUCAAGAUUGUCUCUUAGAAGAAAUUCGGUAGGGUGCCAUUUUCCCCUAAUUUUUAAUCGAAUUUUUUAUUUUCCAAUUACAUGUAAAAAGUUUUCAACAUUUGUUUUUUAAAGUUUUGAGUUCUAAAUUCCCUCUUUCCCUUCUUUUUCUUGCAAACAAUAUGUGCAAAAUUUCAGUGAAUUAUUCUUUAAAUAUUUGAUAUAAUUUACUUCUAAAUCCAUUUGGCUCUAGGGUUUUUCCUUUGGGAGUUGAUUUAUAGCUUGUUCAAUUUCUCUUUUCUGAGAUUGGUUUAUUUAAUAUCCAUUUCUUGUCCUGAUCAUCUGAGUAUUUCAUUUUUUUUUUUGGUAACUAUUCCUCCAUUUAAUUUUAACAUUUUUCCUGGCCUAUAAUUCAGGAAAAUAAUUUCUUUCUUUCUUUCUUUUUUUUUUUUUAAUUUCCUCUUCAUUUGUUGUGAGUUCUUAUUUUCUAUCUUAGAUACUGGCAAUUGGAUCUCUCUCUCU